GCCUGGGUGGCUCGGUCGGUUGAGCGACCGACUUUGGCUCAGGUCAUGAUCUCACUGCUCGUGAGUUCAAGCCCCACCUCGGGCU
rnacentral:tRNA from 1 species